UUUGGAUAACUGUGGUAAUUCUAGAGCUAAUACAUGCAACACAAUCCUGAACCAUUCACUGGGAAGGAUGCUUUUAUUGGACCAAGACCAAUCGCUUGGGCUCUUCCGGGCUCAGGCGUUGACUUGAUGACUCUAGAUAACACUUCAGAUCGUAUGGUCACCGAGCUGGCGACCUAUCUUUCAAAUGCCUGACUUAUCAACUGUCGAUGGUAGACUCUAUGUCUACCAUGGCUCUUACGGGUAACGGGGAAUCAGGGUUCGAUUCCGGAGAGGGAGCCUGAGAAACGGCUACCACAUCCAAGGAAGGCAGCAGGCACGCAAAUUACCCACUCCCGGCACGGGGAGGUAGUGACAAAAAAUAACGAUGCGGGACUCUUUUGAGGCCCCGUAAUCGGAAUGAGUACACUUUAAAUCCUUUAACGAUAAUCAAUUAGAGGGCAAGUCUGGUGCCAGCAGCCGCGGUAAUUCCAGCUCUAAUAGCGUAUAUUAAAGUUGUUGCGGUUAAAAAGCUCGUAGUUGGUUCUGCGUGCCACGCUGUCGGUUCGCCGCCUGACGGUGUAACUGGCAUGUCGUGGCAUGUCCUGUCGGUGGCGAACUGGGGCCACAUUCGUUUUCCCCAUUCGGGCUUGUCUCGGGUGUGUGGAGCGGUGUGGUCACUUGGUUCGCCGGCUCUAUCCUGCCGCGGUGCUUUUAACCAAGUGUCGAGGUAGGCCGACACGUUUACUUUGAACAAAUUAGAGUGCUCAAAGCAGGCUUAAAUCUCUGCCUGAAUAGUGGUGCAUGGAAUAAUGGAACAGGACCUUGGUUCUAUUCUGUUGGUCUCCGGAACACAAGGUAAUGAUCAAUGUGGACAGGCGGGGGCAUUCGUAUUGCGCCGGGAAACCAAAGCUUUUGGGUUCCGGGGGAAGUAUGGUUGCAAAGCUGAAACUUAAAGGAAUUGACGGAAGGGCACCACCAGGAGUGGAGCCUGCGGCUUAAUUUGACUCAACACGGGAAACCUCACCAGGUCAGGACAUUGGAAGGAUUGACAGAUUGAUAGCUCUUUCUUGAUUCAGUGGUUAGUGGUGCAUGGCCGUUCUUAGUUGGUGGAUCGAUUUGUCUGGUUAAUUCCGAUAACGAACGAGACUCUAGCCUAUUAACUAGGCGUUUCCGGUAUCGAUGCUACCGGCGAUACUUAUUCUUCUUAAGGGGACAGGCGGCUUCCAGCCGCACGAAAUUGAGCAAUAACAGGUCUGUGAUGCCCUUAGAUGUCCUGGGCCGCACGCGCGCUACACUGAAAGAAUCAGCGUGUGCCUCCCUGGUCCGAUAGGGCCGGGCAACCCGCUGAACCUCUUUCGUGCUAGGAAUUGGGGCUUGCAAUUGUUCCCCAUGAACGAGGAAUUCCCAGUAAGCGCGAGUCAUAAGCUCGCGUUGAUUACGUCCCUGCCCUUUGUACACACCGCCCGUCGCUACUACCGAUUGAAUGAUUUAGUGAGGUCUUCGGACCGACGGUAAGCGAUGCCGCCUCCAUACGGUAUCGAUGUACGUUGGGAAGAUGACCAGAACUUGAUCAUUUAGAGGAAGUAAAAGUCGUAACAGGUUCGAG
rnacentral:rRNA from 1 species